ACGGAAGGCAGCAGUGGGGAAUAUUGGACAAUGGGCGCAAGCCUGAUCCAGCGACGCCGCGUGAGUGAAGAAGUAUUUCGGUAUGUAAAGCUCUAUCAGCAGGGAAGAUAAUGACGGUACCUGACUAAGAAGCACCGGCUAAAUACGUGCCAGCAGCCGCGGUAGUACGUAUGGUGCAAGCGUUAUCCGGAUUUACUGGGUGUAAAGGGAGCGUAGACGGCAAGGCAAGUCUGAAGUGAAAGCCUGGGGCUCAACCCCGGAACUGCUUUGGAAACUGUCUGGCUAGAGUGCAGGAGAGGUAAGUGGAAUUCCUAGUGUAGCGGUGAAAUGCGUAGAUAUUAGGAGGAACACCAGUGGCGAAGGCGGCUUACUGGACUGUAACUGACGUUGAGGCUCGAAAGCGUGGGGAGCAAACAGGAUUAGAUACCCUGGUA
rnacentral:rRNA from 1 species